rnacentral:lncRNA from 1 species
AUGGUCGUUUGUCUGUGUUGUGUCCUGAGCACUGAAUGGGGUCACCUGGGGAUCCUGGAACUAGAGCUCCUCUCCCAGCUGCAGGGUUGGGGCUGGGCUUAUUUAAUCAAUGGAGGGAGGGCCCUAUUUGCAUGUCCCCUGACUAUAUAUUCACCUACCAACUUAGAUUCAAUUAUUAAUACGUUAUAUACAAAGAUUGCUUCACAACCCCACAUCAGUUUCUUUUGGUUUCACAGUGGAUUUAUGAUGUUCUAAUCCAUCAACGUAUUUAUCUUU